rnacentral:rRNA from 1 species
GAUGAACGCUGGCGGCGUGCCUAAUACAUGCAAGUCGAGCGAACGGACGAGAAGCUUGCUUCUCUGAUGUUAGCGGCGGACGGGUGAGUAACACGUGGAUAACCUACCUAUAAGACUGGGAUAACUUCGGGAAACCGGAGCUAAUGCCGGAUAAUAUUUUGAACCGCAUGGUUCAAAAGUGAAAGACGGUCUUGCUGUCACUUAUAGAUGGAUCCGCGCUGCAUUAGCUAGUUGGUAAGGUAACGGCUUACCAAGGCAACGAUGCAUAGCCGACCUGAGAGGGUGAUCGGCCACACUGGAACUGAGACACGGUCCAGACUCCUACGGGAGGCAGCAGUAGGGUAUCUUCCGCAAUGGGCGAAAGCCUGACGGAGCAACGCCGCGUGAGUGAUGAAGGUCUUCGGAUCGUAAAACUCUGUUAUUAGGGAAGAACAUAUGUGUAAGUAACUGUGCACAUCUUGACGGUACCUAAUCAGAAAGCCACGGCUAACUACGUG